UGCACAGUGUACCAGAUUAGCGUCCCACAUAAACAUGAGAUUAAACAGCACCCAUGGGUCCGGGGUGGGGUGGGGAGGAGGGGGAGGGUGAUCUAUCGAGUAAUGAGAUAGCGCUCGUCUUUCUGCAGACUUUGGACCUUCUGCAUGCUGGCGUUGUCAUUAGUUUCAGAUCUGGAUGCUGUCAAGUACACGCACGUCCAUGCGAACAGCUCUACACGCACACCACGUGUUUGUAUCUAACCAAACACAGAAUAUGCGUCUCGAAAAAUCAUUAACUGGAGUAGAUGAUGGGGUUCAUCACUGAGUUGAGGGUGGCAAGGAGAAGAAACCAAGUUUUGAACUUCAGCACCUGGCACUUCUGACAGUUAAUGCCAUCCAUCAGAAGGAUCACUAAUCCAGGAGUCCAGCAGAUUACAAAGGCCCCUGAGAGAGAGAGAGUCCACACACCACUCCAGUGUACACUGUGGAUGCUCAGAAAAAUCCAUCAUCUUCCACUCGUCCAGAUGGAGUAAAAACAGUGAUAUAUAACCAGAAACUUCAGAGUAUUGUGGAAGACAGGGGAGUUUCUAGCUACUGAGAAGAUCCAAGUCAAAUUUACCCGGGGAUUUUCUUUUUUUUUUUUUGAAGGAAGAUUGGCAUCGGGGCUAAAAUACUCAGUGCUGGGAUUAAAAUACUCGGGGCUGGGAUUAAAAUACUCGGGGCUGUAGUCCCAAGUGAUCGGACCUAAUGACGCCCAUGGUGGGAGACGGAGCAGAUCUCAAUGAAGACUUCCUAGUACCAGAAAGUUCCUUACACUCUGCUACCAGGAUAACACAUCAAGACGGCAUUUUCAGGGUUAGACCUGAAGGAGGCUGAGAUACUGAUAUGCAUAAAUGGGGAAUGGAUGACUUCAUCCUUUCCACAAAGGAAUAAAUAAUUAAAUACAGGGAACUGCUGCCCAGGGGCGUGCCUUUGUGACUGUGGGACAUUUUUGUAUCAUUGCCUAAUUGACUCACUUGACCACAAGGGGGUGUCAUUCAGCAAGUCAUUCUGGUUCGAUUUUCCUUCUGAAUAUUAUAAAAGGUCUUCCUCCCAGCUGUGAAUAUUGUCUGUCUGUAAAUGUUGCGUUGACAGGAAAACUCAUACCUGUAAUUGGUUUUCCAUAAACUAACAUACCUUACUCAAUGUCAUCUCAUUAUAACUUCUAUCCCAGAUUCAGUCUGAUAGAAAACUUCAUAUUAGUUAACAAUACAGCUAAAUUAAUUUCUUUAUCAAUUAGGUUACAUGAGCUGCUUUGUUAACAUUAAAUAAAUACUUUUACUUAA